rnacentral:rRNA from 1 species
AGUGAACGCUGGCGGUAGGCCUAACACAUGCAAGUCGAACGGCAGCACAGUAAGAGCUUGCUCUUACGGGUGGCGAGUGGCGGACGGGUGAGGAAUACAUCGGAAUCUACUUUUUCGUGGGGGAUAACGUAGGGAAACUACGCUAAUACCGCAUACGACCUACGGGUGAAAGCAGGGGAUCUUCGGACCUUGCGCGAUUGAAUGAGCCGAUGUCGGAUUAGCUAGUUGGCGGGGUAAAGGCCCACCAAGGCGACGAUCCGUAGCUGGUCUGAGAGGAUGAUCAGCCACACUGGAACUGAGACACGGUCCAGACUCCUACGGGAGGCAGCAGUGGGGAAUAUUGGACAAUGGGCGCAAGCCUGAUCCAGCCAUACCGCGUGGGUGAAGAAGGCCUUCGGGUUGUAAAGCCCUUUUGUUUGGAAAGAAAAGCAGCAGGUUAAUACCCCGCUGUUCUGACGGUACCCAAAGAAUAAGCACCGGCUAACUUCGUG